AAAUUGAAGAGUUUGAUCAUGGCUCAGAUUGAACGCUGGCGGCAGGCCUAACACAUGCAAGUCGAACGGUAACAGGAAGCAGCUUGCUGCUUUGCUGACGAGUGGCGGACGGGUGAGUAAUGUCUGGGAAACUGCCUGAUGGAGGGGGAUAACUACUGGAAACGGUAGCUAAUACCGCAUAACGUCGCAAGACCAAAGAGGGGGACCUUCGGGCCUCUUGCCAUCGGAUGUGCCCAGAUGGGAUUAGCUAGUAGGUGGGGUAACGGCUCACCUAGGCGACGAUC
rnacentral:rRNA from 1 species